rnacentral:rRNA from 2 species
AUGGACGAAAGUCUGAUGGAGCAACGCCGCGUGAGUGAAGAAGGGUUUCGGCUCGUAAAACUCUGUUGUUAAAGAAGAACAUAUCUGAGAGUAACUGUUCAGGUAUUGACGGUAUUUAACCAGAAAGCCACGGCUAACUACGUGCCAGCAGCCGCGGUAAUACGUAGGUGGCAAGCGUUGUCCGGAUUUAUUGGGCGUAAAGCGAGCGCAGGCGGUUUUUUAAGUCUGAUGUGAAAGCCUUCGGCUCAACCGAAGAAGUGCAUCGGAAACUGGGGAACUUGAGUGCAGAAGAGGACAGUGGAACUCCAUGUGUAGCGGUGAAAUGCGUAGAUAUAUGGAAGAACACCAGUGGCGAAGGCGGCUGUCUGGUCUGUAACUGACGCUGAGGCUCGAAAGUAUGGGUAGCAAACAGGAUUAGAUACCCUGGUAGUCCAUACCGUAAACGAUGAAUGCUAAGUGUUGGAGGGUUUCCGCCCUUCAGUGCUGCAGCUAACGCAUUAAGCAUUCCGCCUGGGGAGUACGGCCGCAAGGCUGAAACUCAAAGGAAUUGACGGGGGCCCGCACAAGCGGUGGAGCAUGUGGUUUAAUUCGAAGCUACGCGAAGAACCUUACCAGGUCUUGACAUACUAUGCAAAUCUAAGAGAUUAGACGUUCCCUUUGGGGACAUGGAUACAGGUGGUGCAUGGUUGUCGUCAGCUCGUGUCGUGAGAUGUGGG